UAGAGUUUGAUCAUGGCUCAGGAUGAACGCUAGCGACAGGCUUAACACAUGCAAGUCGAGGGGCAGCGGGGGUGAUGGCUUGCCAUCGCCUGCCGGCGACCGGCGCACGGGUGAGUAACACGUAUGCAACCUGCCCGCCACAGGGGGAUAAGCGGAAGAAAUUCCGUCUAAUACCGCGUGACGCGGCACCGGGGCAUCCCGGUGCCGCCAAAGGGAUUACCGGUGGCGGAUGGGCAUGCGGCGCAUUAGCUAGUCGGCGGGGUAACGGCCCACCGAGGCGACGAUGCGUAGGGGUUCUGAGAGGAAGGUCCCCCACACUGGUACUGAGACACGGACCAGACUCCUACGGGAGGCAGCAGUGAGGAAUAUUGGUCAAUGGGCGCGAGCCUGAACCAGCCAAGUCGCGUGAGGGAUGACGGUCCUACGGAUUGUAAACCUCUUUUGCCGGGGAGCAAGCGUGCGUUCGUGAACGCGCGUCGAGAGUACCCGGAGAAAAAGCAUCGGCUAACUCCGUGCCAGCAGCCGCGGUAAUACGGAGGAUGCGAGCGUUAUCCGGAUUUAUUGGGUUUAAAGGGUGCGUAGGCGGGAUGCCAAGUCAGCGGUAAAAAAGCGGUGCUCAACGCCGUCGAGCCGUUGAAACUGGCGUUCUUGAGUGGGCGAGAAGUAUGCGGAAUGCGUGGUGUAGCGGUGAAAUGCAUAGAUAUCACGCAGAACUCCGAUUGCGAAGGCAGCAUACCGGCGCCCUACUGACGCUGAGGCACGAAAGCGUGGGUAUCGAACAGGAUUAGAUACCCUGGUAGUCCACGCAGUAAACGAUGAAUGCUAACUGUCCGGUGCGAGUGA
rnacentral:rRNA from 1 species